AAGAAACUAACAAGGAUUCCCCUAGUAACGGCGAGUGAAGCGGGAAAAGCUCAAAUUUGAAAUCUGGUAGCCUCAGGCUGCCCGAGUUGUAAUCUAUAGAAACGUUUUCCGCGCUGGCCCAUGUACAAGUCUCCUGGAAUGGAGCGUCAUAGAGGGUGAGAAUCCCGUCCUUGACAUGGACUACCAGUGCUUUGUGAUACGUUUUCAAAGAGUCGAGUUGUUUGGGAAUGCAGCUCAAAAUGGGUGGUAAAUUCCAUCUAAAGCUAAAUAUUGGCGAGAGACCGAUAGCGAACAAGUACCGUGAGGGAAAGAUGAAAAGCACUUUGGAAAGAGAGUUAAACAGUAUGUGAAAUUGUUGAAAGGGAAACGAUUGAAGUCAGUCAUGUCUAUUGGACUCAGCCGGUUCUGCCGGUGUACUUCCUUUAGAUGGGGUCAACAUCAGUUUUGAUCGCUGGAAAAGGGCAGGAGGAAUGUAGCACUCUCGGGUGAACUUAUAGCCUCCUGUCGUAUACAGUGGUUGGGACUGAGGAACGCAGCAUGCCUUUAUGGCCGGGGUUCGCCCACGUACAUGCUUAGGAUGUGACAUAAUGGCU
rnacentral:rRNA from 1 species